rnacentral:rRNA from 1 species
AAUGGGGGAUAACGUAGCGAAAGUUACGCUAAUACCGCAUAUGCCCUGAGGGGGAAAGGUGGGGAUCGCAAGACCUAUCGUUUUCGGAGUGGCCGAUAUCAGAUUAGCUAGUUGGUGGGGUAAAGACCCACCAAGGCGACGAUCUGUAGCGGGUCUGAGAGGAUGAUCCGCCACACUGGGACUGAGACACGGCCCAGACUCCUACGGGAGGCAGCAGUGGGGAAUUUUGGACAAUGGGGGCAACCCUGAUCCAGCCAUGCCGCGUGAGUGAAGAAGGCCUUCGGGUUGUAAAGCUCUUUCAGCCGGAAAGAAAUCGCGCAGGCUAAUAUCCUGUGUGGAUGACGGUACCGGAAGAAGAAGCACCGGCUAACUACGUGCCAGCAGCCGCGGUAAUACGUAGGGUGCGAGCGUUAAUCGGAAUUACUGGGCGUAAAGCGUGCGCAGGCGGUUUUGUAAGACAGGCGUGAAAUCCCCGGGCUUAACCUGGGAACUGCGUUUGUGACUGCAAGGCUAGAGUGUGGCAGAGGGGGGUAGAAUUCCG